rnacentral:rRNA from 1 species
UGGGGAAUCUUGCACAAUGGGGGCAACCCUGAUGCAGCGACGCCGCGUGAGCGAUGAAGCCCUUCGGGGUGUAAAGCUCUUACGCCAGGGACGAUAAUGACGGUACCUGGAGAAGCAGCUGCGGCUAACUACGUGCCAGCAGCCGCGGUAAUACGUAGGCAGCAAGCGUUGUUCGGAAUUACUGGGCGUAAAGGGUGCGUAGGCGGCGCUCUAAGUUUGGUGUGAAAUCUCCCGGCUUAACUGGGAGGGUGCACUGAAAACUGGGGCGCUCGAGUAUGGGAGAGGAAAGCGGAAUUCCUGGUGUAGCGGUGAAAUGCGUAGAGAUCAGGAGGAACACCUGCGGUGCAGACGGCUUUCUGGACCAUCACUGACGCUGAGGCACGAAAGCGUGGGUAGCAAACA